AAAGAAGAGUAAGGAAAUUAAUAAAAAAAAAAAAAGAAAGAUAAAGAAAGAUAGAAGGGUGGAAGAAGAAGAAGAAGAAGAAGAAGAAGAAGCGAGCAAGCGAGAAAAGGAACAUCGUUAAGCUUUGACUACUAUUUUUCCUAUACUUGGAUUCCUAUCACCCUGACUACUACAACUACUAUAUUACAUCGGGAAUUAGUUGGAUUUUAUUUUCAACGGGUUGUGACUGUCUACUCGCGUGUUAUACAAAUCCGUGCUGCUAUUUCAACGAGAUUCGAGAACUGUGAGUGUUUAAUCUUGAACCUGAUCAAAUUUGGAGUCUAUAUGGUUAUCCUUAGGAAAAGAAUAAAUAACGAACAAAUUCUUCGUUAUUAAAUCGAAGAAAAAGAAAUAAUAAAUCGAGGAUUAUAAGAAGAAAUAAGAAAAGAAGAAGAAGAAGAAGGAGAAGAAGAAGAAUAAGAAGAAGAAGAAGAAGAAGAAGAAGAAGAAGAAGAAGAAGUUGAAUAAGAAGAAAUUGAUUACAGUAGUACUGGCGAGGUAACGGAUUAAGCUCGCUCGAGGAAGCAAUUUUCUCAUGGGUGUGGAACGAUCCGGGAGAGGAGCGCGAUAUAUCUCGAGUGUGUGUGGGUGUCGCGGUCACUGCGGAGAGGGCUCGCUCGCAGUGGAUAGCGCCAUCAUCGUGUCGGCUGCCACGUGAAGCGCUUCCGAGACCUUUUUUGGUUAUCUAUUUUUCUUCCUUUCUCUCUCUCUCUUUCAUUUAUUUAAUCUCCCUCAUUUAUAAUCUUUUAUACGAAUAGAAUAAUAUUCUCUCCCUUGACUCUUAUUCCCGUACUUGUCGCAUCCCUUAAAACUUCACUUUUUUAAUUUACCCGCUUUUUUGGUGGAAAUUAGCAGUGAGUUAGGACUCGGAUUUAAAACGGGAACGGAACGAUACGAAACGGAACGGAAUCAAGCCGAACGACGGAAUUAAGCGGAACGGAACGGAACGGAACGGGAGGAGUGGACAAAAGAAGGAAGAGAGGAUAAGAGAGAGAGAGAGAGAGAGAUAAAAGAGAGAUCAAAUAUUAAGAAGAAAAUAAAAAUAUAUAUUAUCUGGAGUGUUCUUCGAUUAGUAGGACCAUUUGUUAAGGAAGUUUGAUCGUUGUGCUACGUCCCAAGUUGGAAUAUUUGUAUCCUUACGAUUCGACAAGGAUAAAAAUGAUUUUUUCUCUAUAAUUAUUAUCCCACUUUCUGUAAGGGAUUUUAGAGAAGUUCAAGAGAAAGAUUGGAAAAGUUAGGAAGAUUGAGGAUUAAUCAAACAAGUAAAGAAGGAAGCAAACAAGGAAGCCGUUGACCUCGCUGUCUGUCCUAUUGGAAGAUAAGGAAGCGGAUAUAAUCGAAGUAGGGAUUAACGAAGCGAAAAUCGCGAAAAAAGGAUAGAGAAAUCGAGCGAGUUGAUUCGAGCCGAGUCGAGUUGAGUCGAGCCGAGUCGAAUCGAGUCGAGUCGAGUCGUGUGGUGGCAGCCCAGUGACCCGUUUUCUCCCUUUACCCUUAAAUCGAUGUACUCCCGUGCCGUUUAGAAGGGAACGAAAACAAAACACGAGCUUUCAAAGACCCUUACACGCUCCUUCUUCGCUACUCUUUCUUCGAGGAUAUCGGAAACACGGCAACACGCUACCCGUGACCCCCUUUUUCAUUCCAAAUCGAUGUAGUUCUCGUUGAUCGAGAGAGUGUGCCAGAGAAAGAGAGAGAAAGAAAUAACGUUAAGAUUAACAAAGAUAGAUAGAUAGAUAGAUAGAUAGAUAAAUAGAUAGAUAGACGGAUAGCCAAAUAGAUAGAUAGAUAACAAAAAAAGGGAUAUAGAAAAAAAGAAAAACAAAUAAAGUAUUUGAAGAAAGUGAAUUUUCCUUUGACAAUCAUAAGAACAACAACGUCCCUCGACGUCGUUCCAUGCUGGAUCCGAGCGUUGGACCAGGUACGACGGAGAGGGAAGAGAGAAGAAGAAGAAUGCGAGAACCUUUUAAAAGUCUGUGAACAUGAUUUGUCAUACGGAUGUCGCGGGUGGUAAUCGUAAGACGAGCAACACCGACGACGAAGACGAAGACGACGACGGCGACGACGAGGACGAGGACGAGGACGACGAGGAGGAGGACGAGGACGACGAGGACGAGGCCGAUAACGAUUACGAUAACGACAAGAACGAGGAGGAGGAUAAGGAGAACGAAGACAAGGAGGAGGACAAAGAGGAAGACAAAGGAACGAAUUAUUUCACAAUUGAUACGUUUAACGCGUUGAGGACUAUUGUUGUUAUUAGAGAGGAAGAUAGGAUAAUAAGGAGAAGGAGAAGAAGAAGGAUAGAUAGAGGAGAACAAGUAGAAGAAGAAGAAGAAGAAGAAGAAGAAGAGGAGGAAGAAGAAAAAGAAGGGGAGGGCGUAACGUCGCGGGCGUGUUUGCGAGGGUUUGGUGAUAAGGUGGUGCGUUCACCGGGUGUCGGAUGACUCGGCGACGAGGGCUUAGAUAUCCCGUAGUCGUAGAAAAGGCGCGUUAUCCCGCGAUAAUAAUAAAAAUAAUAAUAACAGAAGGUGGUUAUAUAUCAGUCUUAUAUUCGAUAAGAGAACAUAGUUCGCGCGAGUCCGUCGCGUUAUCUCGUAGGCGACGUCGCCGGUGCGUUUUGGCGCUGCAUCAGCACCGGCCUCCUUCUCUUAGCCAGGCCGCUGCCCACCAUCCUGCCCACCAACACGUUAAACCCCGACCUCCCCCCCGUGCUGCACCCAACUCGCCCAACCUCUUUACACCGUGAUGGAGGACUUACCCGAUAUCUCGCACCUCACUCCCGAGGAGAGGCGCAUCAUCGAGGAAGUCGUCAUACGGCAAAAGAGGGAGGAGGAAAAAGAGAAUGAAAUUAUGAGACGAAAACAGGACGAGGUACAAGUCCUCGAAGAAACGAUACGAGCCCGCUCGGAAAAACACAAGAAGGCUGGGGUAGAACUUAAUGCAACGUGUCAAGUGUGCAUGAAAACCAAGUUUGCCGAUGGCAUUGGUCACAACUGCAACUACUGCCAUAUCCGGUGCUGUGCACGCUGCGGUGCAAAGAUCACUCUACGUUCGCGUAGGGAAAUAUGGGUGUGCAUCGUCUGUCGAAAGAAGCAAGAGGUCCUGACGAUGACAAAGGCUGGCCUCGGGACCGUGGACAAUGCGAUGCUGCCAAUGCGAAUGCAGGAGGACAUGCAGGUGGGUGGUCCUCCGGGACUCUUGGACCAAACUCAGGAUAAGAGGCCGAAACUCGAGAGGGCGCACAGCGCAGCCGAGAAGGAGAACCUGCCUUUGCUGCAAAGAAGCGGAAGUCUGCUCAAAAGGCAGUACUCCCAGCAAGAGCAGGUUCCACGUCGGGUGUCUACCAGCGAUAGCGGAGUUGAGAUGUCCGUUUCACCUCACUCGAGAAGUCUACCGACACCCCAAGUAGUCGGUUCGUAUCCUAUACCAAAAUCUCUGAGACAUCAUACCUUCGGCCCAGACGAAACUAGUCUGUUCAGGAGUGAAAUCGACGGUCUCAUGAGAGAACAUCAAAAAAAUUAUCCGAGGCAUCGACCGAUUUAUCAGGAUCAAAACUCUGAUUUUGCAAUGGCUUAUGGUCAACCCGGGACGGAAACGGGACCUUCGCGUGGACCAGUUCAUCCCUCGCAACAGCACACAGUUGUACAUCAAGCGCAAGGUACGCAUCCCUCACAAUCAGCUGUGGCAGGUCAGAGUACUCUUCAGCAACAAAGAAGUUACAGUAGCAGCGAGGAAGAACGGAGUACACCGGAAUGUGGGAGUGACGAGCCGGACGAGUCCGAGAAGGGAAAGGAGUACUACCCUAAGAUGGAUGGUCCAAUGGCUGUGAGCAAGGAUACACGUACGAAGAAGAAUGCUACCCAUAAUGGGCAACUAUCCAUUACGAGUACUAUCAAUAUCGAAUUUAAUGGCAAUCAUCAACCGAGAGAGCCACGAAAAGAACUCAACACGAUCGUCAGACGGAGUUUCCGGAGGAAUGGCGACGAAUGGCGUGCCGAUAGUAGGAGGUUCACCGAAAGAAGGGGGAAAAAGACGGUACGAUUUUACGGUGGGACCAAUAUUGGGAGACAUCAGGAGGAUGAUUGGUCAUGGGAAGUUGCCGAUCAUUGUCGGCAAGGUAGUCAGGACAGCGCAACUAAAGAUUCCGGUAUAGACACGUCAAGCACCUUCACGAGCAGUGAAGAAAGCAACAGGGGCGAGUUGCCCAAGCAUCCUUUGUCCUGGCAAGUAAGCAGAGACGGUCAGAAAGUAAUCGGACACAUGGUCUUACGAAAGUCCUUGGGUUCUGAAACCGGUACAAGUAUACUCGGUCUCAAGGUCGUCGGUGGGAUACUAUUAGAGGAUGGUUCUAGGGGUGCAGUUAUCGAAAAAGUCAAGAAGGGUAGUACAGCAGAUGUUGAUGGUCACUUAAGACCCGGUGACGAGGUACUCGAAUGGAAUAACAGAUCUCUUCAGGGUAGGAGCUUCAAGGACGUAUACGAAAUUAUCGCGGAAUCGAGACAGGAGUCUCAAGUUGAAUUGAUAGUUUCGCGAAAUUUAUCGGCUGCUUUGGCACCUAGUACUACGACAAUGACGACUUCGACGAUUAUGGUAGGACAACAACAGCAACAACAAAAACAAUUGCAACAACAACAAUUACAUCAACAAAGAUUACCGGUUACGUCGAUGUCCGUCCCGUCCAGACGAAUUACUUCGCAAACCCAAUGGAGAACAAAACAGGACUCCAUUUCCAGUCCUCAACAACCACAUCAUAAAGAUUAUAUGAUUUUUCGCAUUCCAGGUCUUAAGAAAUGUAUUCUAUGGGAGUUGUACGACGCGAGGCGCGAGAAACCGUCGGUUUUAGUGACGUCACCUGGUUCACCGGACCUAAACGCUCAAGGACGUGUCAGGCAUGGACGUAGAGCAACGACAGGAAACGUCAACGUCGGUGGUGAUCUUCAAGUGAAGUUAGCCUUCGAUCCUGUAGCACUUCAACUAUUGGUCACUGUCAUUUGCGCAUCGGCUCUUAGCCCACGUCCUGAUGGUCAACCGAGAAAUCCUUACGCCAAGAUCUUCCUACUUCCUGAUAGAAGCGAGAAGUCAAAGAGACGAACGAAAACAUUGGCGAACACGAACGAUCCUAAAUGGAAUCAGACAUUCGUUUACAACGGGAUAAGAAGUUCGGAGCUUAGAAAGAGGGCAUUGGAGAUAACAGUUUGGGAUUACGGGAGGUACGACGCGAAUGAUUUUCUCGGUGAGGUCGUCAUAGAAUUGGCUGUUGCACCAUUGGACGACGAAAUAGAAUGGCAUCCAUUGACGAUACACGCGGAACAUCGGCAUUAUCAGGAGGCCGAGGAUAUGGUGAUAACUCCGGUGGAUUGCCAUCUUAGCCCGCCGUCGACAACAUCGAGAUUAAGCGAUUCCGACACUUCGGAGUGCGACAUCACGGAUUGCGACGUCUCCAGGGAACAGAGACGAACGGCUGACGGUGCCAGCAUAAGUAGUAUCGGCAGUUCCUCCAGGUUUCAUAAUAUGCCGUCAAAUUAUAAGCGCCACUAUUCUAGCCCCCCGCCGGAAAGAGAGCUGUGUGUCGAUGGUGAACAUCGGAGUCGAAGGGACAUGUCACCUCAAGGUCGUAAAAGAGCUGCCCUUAUGGUGUCCCGUGAUCAUCCCGCGUCCAUCUCUGGCUAUCAAACUUAUCGCAAGGACGAUAUUCAUCGUGGAAUGAUGGGUCACAGAUCUCACAGCGCGGCACCAAUGGACUCACCUAGCGUACGUUACCGUGGCCGAUCCCAAAGUCCCACCGGUCAUCGUUCUUUAUCUCCACCCGAACACAGAUCCAUGCCUUAUUCGCACAGUUACAUGCCGAGAUUCGGUUCUAGAUCGGCAACAGCCACACCUACCGGUUCGCCAAAGAAGCGUCAGCUUCCACAAAUCCCAGCAGCCUUGAAGGACAGAGUAACGCACGAUUUUGAAGAUAGAGCAAAGUUUAUGAGGCAUCGUAAUAGACCAGGACACACAACUUAUAGGAGUACAGGAAUGGGAGGCUGGGAAAGACACUACAGUGGUCUUUCAGAUUCGGAUCUACCAUCGAUGGGACAUGAUCCUUUAUCGUUACCGCACAGUAAUGCUCACAGACUGCACAGACCACGAAGGGGGCAUUUAAGUCCGGACAAAGAUGUGCUUGGUGACCUUGGGGACUCCGACAUGGAGAGCAUAGCAUCAGUAACGAGCAGUGCCUUCAGUACGCAAUCGGAACGACCACGUGGAUCGAGGGGAUUAAUUCUCUUUGAUUCCCAAACCGCUACCUCCGACACUGCUAAAAACUACCACCCACGGGCCGACGAUCAUCAACACGAAAACCCACGUACGAUCGCGAAACCGACAUCGACGCAAUACCACCAACAACAAUAUCAACAACAACAACAACAACAACAACAUCAACAUCAACAACAUCAACAACUACAACAACAUCAACAACAUCAACAACAUCAACCACAUCAUCGACAUCAUCAACAUCGUCAAACGAACCACGAACCACGAUCGUCGUCGUCGUCGUCGCCGCCGCCGCCGCCGCCACUCCCGCACCCGCACCCGCACCCGCCGCCGUCGUUGUCGUCGUCGUCGUCGUGUCAAUGCUGCGCCCAUCCUCCUCCCUUCAUUCACAAUAAUAAUACCGUUGACUACGUCGCCGCUAACAAUUACUAUCCCUCUAAUCGUCGCCACGACCACGACAAUGAUUUCCCAAUGACUUCCCAUCGACGUACCGCCCACCAUCGGAAAAUAUUAACUUAUCACGACGCCGGCGGCGACGCCGACGGUACCGUUAACGUCAUCAUCGACGAUGGUGACGUUCUCGACGGUGAUGUUGUUGAUCAUCGACGACGACGUUACGACGACGACGACCUGCGGGAUCGUCGCUCCUCCUCCAUGCCCGAAAGCAGCGAGUACUCCGGCCAGUCGGGCUCGUACGAAAAACCAACGAGGCAUCAGACGACCGACAAUGGCCACGACGAACAACAUACAGGAAAACGGGGCCAAUUUAUUAGGAGUCUCAGUAACACGGACGCGCCGCCCGAUGAGAAAGUUGAUGGGAGUUUGAGCGACACGGCCGUCAGUCACGUGGAUGAUGCCUCGAGGAGGGAUCGUAAGAGUUCACCGGGUAGUAAAAGUGGAAGCGGAAGUAGCAGCGGCGGCGGAAGCGCCGUACAGUAUCAGACCGGGCUUGGAAAGAAGAGUAACAGCACGAGUCAGCUAUCCGCGACAGCUGGUCACCCAGUCUGCGAUUGGCAUCGGAGACCGGGCAGCUGAGAGACUUCAUCGAGGAUCUUGGGCCUGCACAAGUAGUUGGAAGACAAGCGUUAGGUGCUGGUCAUCUUGGUGCCAUACAACUAUCUCUUAGCAAUACCAAAGGUUAUCUCGAAGUUGAGAUAAUUCGUGCCAAAGAUCUUAAAUCGAAAAUUGGAAGCAAAGCCAUUCCAGCUUCUUACGUAAAGGUUUAUCUGAUGAAUGGGAAGAAAUGUAUA
rnacentral:misc_RNA from 1 species